rnacentral:rRNA from 1 species
AGUUUGAUCCUGGCUCAGAUUGAACGCUGGCGGCAUGCCUUACACAUGCAAGUCGAACGGCAGCACGGAGCUUGCUCUGGUGGCGAGUGGCGAACGGGUGAGUAAUAUAUCGGAACGUACCCUAGAGUGGGGGAUAACGUAGCGAAAGUUACGCUAAUACCGCAUACGAUCUAAGGAUGAAAGUGGGGGAUCGCAAGACCUCAUGCUCGUGGAGCGGCCGAUAUCUGAUUAGCUAGUUGGUAGGGUAAAAGCCUACCAAGGCAUCGAUCAGUAGCUGGUCUGAGAGGACGACCAGCCACACUGGAACUGAGACACGGUCCAGACUCCUACGGGAGGCAGCAGUGGGGAAUUUUGGACAAUGGGCGAAAGCCUGAUCCAGCAAUGCCGCGUGAGUGAAGAAGGCCUUCGGGUUGUAAAGCUCUUUUGUCAGGGAAGAAACGGUGAAAGCUAAUAUCUUUUGCUAAUGACGGUACCUGAAGAAUAAGCACCGGCUAACUACGUGCCAGCAGCCGCGGUAAUACGUAGGGUGCAAGCGUUAAUCGGAAUUACUGGGCGUAAAGCGUGCGCAGGCGGUUUUGUAAGUCUGAUGUGAAAUCCCCGGGCUCAACCUGGGAAUUGCAUUGGAGACUGCAAGGCUAGAAUCUGGCA